UAUAAAGUGGUGUUGGUUUAAUUUUAACUUUUGAAGUUAGUUUACGGUUAUUGACCGUGCUUUAAAU
rnacentral:tRNA from 1 species